GAUGAACGCUGGCGGCGUGCCUAAUACAUGCAAGUCGAGCGAAUGGAUUAAGAGCUUGCUCUUAUGAAGUUAGCGGCGGACGGGUGAGUAACACGUGGGUAACCUGCCCAUAAGACUGGGAUAACUCCGGGAAACCGGGGCUAAUACCGGAUAACAUUUUGAACCGCAUGGUUCGAAAUUGAAAGGCGGCUUCGGCUGUCACUUAUGGAUGGACCCGCGUCGCAUUAGCUAGUUGGUGAGGUAACGGCUCACCAAGGCAACGAUGCGUAGCCGACCUGAGAGGGUGAUCGGCCACAAUGGGACUGAGACACGGCCCAGACUCCUACGGGAGGCAGCAGUAGGGAAUCUUCCGCAAUGGACGAAAGUCUGACGGAGCAACGCCGCGUGAGUGAUGAAGGCUUUCGGGUCGUAAAGUUCUGUUGUUAGGGAAGAACAAGUGCUAGUUGAAUAAGCUGGCACCUUGACGGUACCUAACCAGAAAGCCACGGCUAACUACGUGCCAGCCGCCGCGGUAA
rnacentral:rRNA from 1 species